rnacentral:lncRNA from 1 species
CUCACCUCACUAGUCUUUAGCUCUGGUGCAUCGGGUUCUUCAUCGCUGUCGUCAUCAGUAGCUAUUAUGCGUAUUAACAUCUUGUAAAAGGCAACAUUAUGCUCUAUUACCUGAUCCAUCAUCACAAGCAAAAUAUGAUCACAAUAUAUAGAAUCACAAUUUAGAAACACAAGCAAAACAGAAACAUGAGAAAAACAGAGCAUGAGCAAAGGGGUCAAUUAGCAUGUGGAGCAUGAUCAAAAUCAAAAUCAAAAUGCAUAGAUCAAAAUUAAGAGACAUCUAACAUCUCACAUUACUUAUCUCACAAUCACAUUACCUCACAUUACUUCUAACAUCAUCAGCACC